ensembl:lncRNA
AUUAUUAUUAUUAUUAUUAUAUUUUAUUAGAUAUCCUGUAAAUGUUACGUCAACCCCAAUUCUGUAUAAUCAUUCUUAUGUCACCACUGCACAGGUAUUGCUCAUCGCACAUCGUCUUCAUUACAUGUUCAGCUUUCGUAACAGCUCAGCCAAUCAGAAAGCAGUGUUUCUUGAAGCCCCGCCUCCGGCACAAUAUGUAGUAGGUUGUGAGCUUUUAUAACCAUUCGCGGACACAGGAAGCUGUGUGUACCUGUUACGGAGAAGUUUACGAAAAGUACAGAUUGACACUGGACAGAAACGAUGGUGUGACUGCUAAUAAAAGCUAGCAUCUACGUGGUUAGAAGGAUCCGGGCUUCCAUCGCUGAAGGAGAGCAACAGGAGAAGCCCAUCCUGACACCAUGUAGUGCUAUAGCUGGAAAGAGAGCGGGGCAGGGGUUGAGAGAAAAAGCCUCUGCUGCAUCACUGAGCCCAGGAUCUGAUGAAGGCGUCUUAGAAGCAGCAGGGCCGGGGACGUCAUCAGAGACAGCUGUGCAGAAAUGUGGCUCCUGACGUUAAAGACUACGCUGGACACUAGGACCAUGGACAAGUCAAUAAAAAUAAAUAAUCGAUUAUUUAUUUAAUUUCAUUUUUGGGGGGUACUCAUUCAUUUUAUACACCAAACAGUUUAUGUGUGAAGAUCUACAUUGUUAUUUUUCUUUUACACAAAAGCAAACAUCAAACAAACAAGAAAUAUUAUUCCAGCACUGUCCAUGUUGUAUGUUGUACCCAGUGGUCAAAUUUUUAUUACUUGAAACAUUUUGACUUGCCACACCAUGAAGUUAGCAUAGCUAAUAGAAAAUAUCAUUAUAAUAACAUUACCCAAAAUCUGUUUAAAAAAAAGUCUGCAUAUGUUAUCAAGUGUGAGUGGUAGGUCAACAUGUUCUCUGUAAGUAAAAUCUGAAGUUUAUCUGCUGCAGUGUUUGAAGGCCGGCUCACCAACCUCUUUCCAGGGGCUGAGCUGGCCUGAUGUUUCUGCAGUUACAUCAAUAAAUUAUAAAAAUGCUCUUGUGGUCAUAUUUUCUUAUAUAAGGAAUAAGAAUGUACCAGUAAACAUGCAUUGACAAUAAUUGUGAAAAAUGAAAAUAUCUAUGUAAAAAAUGAAAUCUUCAAUUAUUUUAUUUUAGUAAUAAAUGAGUGAGUGGCCGUUCUUUCACUGAGUUAGUUAAGUUAAGUGAGUUUUUUUUUUCUACAGCUUUCAGAAACAAUUUUGCUGUUUGAUUUCUACAUUUUUGAAAAUAUAUUUAUUUUUUAUUUCAAUUAUGGCUGAAGGCUGUGGCUGAAGCAAAAACGCAGGUGGGGGAGGAGCUUGGAGAGGUUUUCGGACCGUCUCCAAGAAUUUCUGGCAAAAUUGUCAGGCAACUCAGGAGGGGGAGCGGUGCUCUACUUGCACUGUGUAUAGUGCAGGUAGAGCACUGCUGACUUCGACUGAGGAUCUUUUCAGGUUGUGGAAGAGAUAUUUAAAGGAUCACCUUAAUCCCAGUGGCGCAUCUUCCGUGGAGGAAGUAGAGUCUGGGGACGAGAGGGAUGACUUGUCCAUCAAGUCCAUUGGUAUGGGCCAUUCGUUCCUUUUACAACUGUUGCAAGUGCUUGGGCCACACACCCGGUAAUAAGUGGGACUCUGCCAGGGCUGCCCUUUGUCACCGAUUCUGUUCAUAAUUUUUAUAGACAGAAUUUCUAGGCAUAGCCAAGUGGUGGAAGACUUCCACUUGGGUGGUCUUACAAUCUCAUCUCUUCUUUUCACAGAUGAUGUGGUUCUGUUGAAUUCAUCAGGUGAUGGCCUCCAGUUUGCACUGGAGUGGUUCGCAGCAAAGUGUGAAGCGGCAGGAAUGAGAAUCAGCCCCUCCAAUUUUCGGUUGAUCUACAUCCCUACCCUCACCUAGCACUAGAUUGCAGAUACAAGCAGCGUAAAUGAGCUUUCUCCAAAUGUUGGUUGGCCUCUCCCUUAGAGAUAGGGUGAGGAGUUCGGCCAUUCAGGAGGGACUCAGAGUAGAGCCACUACUCCUACACAUCGAAAGGAGCCACUUGAGGUGGUUCUGACAGGGAUGCCACCUGGGUGCCUCAUGCCUGAGGUGUUCUGGGUAUGUCCUACUGGGAGGAGGCCCUGGGGCAGACCCAGGACACGCUGGAGAAAUUAUAUCUCUCGGCUGGCAUGGGAAUGGCUUGGUGUUCCCCUGGAUAAGUGGAAUAAAGUGAAUGGAUGGAUGGAAUAAUGGUGAAGUGAAAAUCCGAGUUUAAUCCUUAAAAUUACUUUUUUUUUUCGUGCUGGGCCUUUUGACUUUUCCAAGCUGGAAAAGCACAGGAUAGAAAUGGCAGCAUUAUUGGCUCCAUUCAGGGAAUACUAUAAUGUCCCAUGACAGCCAUGUUGAUGAGAAAGCAUGGAUUACUGACUGUUGAAUGAGUUGUGAAUAAUUACAUCAUGGAUUUUUCUGCUGUAUGUACAGAUUUAUCCUGAGAGAUUUUGUAAAAAAUCUUUUUGUGGAAAAAAACUUGAUAGAUAGGUAGAUAAUUAAGUUUAAGCACCAUAUGUGCUGAAACUGUUGUAAAACUUACAGCUGUAUUAUUGCUGGUCUAACAUUGGUAUGCUUAUUGCCCCUGGUAAUUGGUAUGCAGUUUAACAAAAAACAAAAAGACUGUAAAAGUGGAUGGUAUAUUUUUUAUAUAUAUGAAUUUUGGGUCCUGUGGGUGCUGGAGUAGCAGACCAAUUAAACUAUAAGUUAGUUAUUGUUCUGCUGGGAUACUUGCUGGGAUGCAUCUUGAAAUUCAUCUUCAUGUGAUAGUGAAACAUCCAUCAGUUUUCCCAGACACAAAUCCAAUAAAAUCAACUACAAGAUUUGCUGAAAUGAGAUGAAUCUACCGGCAACAUCACAGUAUGAGAAUUCAUAAUGAGGGAGAGUUUUUGCAGGGGAUCUACACAACUGUUGGCAGUUUUGGUUGUUUUAAUUGCUUUAUUGACACGUACCAGCCACCUUGGUAGGUAUUCUGUGCUAGUACCAAGUUGGACCUCCUUUUUCCUUCAGAGCACAGAUGCAACAUUUUCUUGGUCCAUUUGAUGUGAUAGCAUAAGAUAGUUGUUGCACAUUUGCUGGCUAAAUAUUCAUGAUGGGAAUUUUCCUGUUUCACCACAUCCCAAAGGUCCUCUAUUGGAUUAUGAUCUCGUGACUCUGAGGCCAUUUGAGUACAGUGAACUCACUGUCAAGCCAGAUUUGAACUUUGUGACUCUGGUGUUUUAUCAGAAGAUUCAUUGUGCACACCAGAGUCAUGGUCAGAACACGGUCAGCAACAAUAAACAAUAUUCAGUUAGCACCAAGGAGGGAUUUGUAAAACCAGGCAAUGUUUUCCAGUCACCCUUUGUCGAACUUUGUGGACCUCAUGGAAACUGUUGCCUCUGUUGCCUUUUUUUUAGCUGACAGGAACUGCACCCAAUGUGCUCUUUUGCUGAUGUAGAAGACCACACCUACUGUACACCUAAGUCUUUGCAUUGGGAAAGAAUGUUUUUUUUUUCUUAUUUCUGAUGUUUCCCAGUGCUUUACUGCAACAGUCUUCAGUUGUUUUUUGUUCAUUAGUUGUCUUUACCAUGGGAAAUGCACCUCAACUGAGUUGACUGUCUGACUCUAAAACACCAUAAUAUUGUACUUAAAAAUGUUUCCAGUUUUUCUUUGUUCCAGAUGCUGUUGACUUAGCCACUGCCAAUGUCCUAAUAUUCCUAAAGUUAAAUGUGAUGGAUCUGUUUUGGCUUUCAUCUUAGUGACUGACUGUUUAACUUGGACUUAAUGUGUGAAUCCUGUGUCCACACAUUGUGGAUUCACAUAAACAACUAGCAGAUGUAAAUACUAUACUUGGAAUCAACUCUAGACCUUUUAGAAGACAGUAAAACUUUAUUGUCAUUGCACAGAAGUACCUGCUUAUUUUAUGAAGAAAUAAUGAAGGGAUCAUACAUCUGUUAUAACGCUUGAGUGAAUUGUAGAAUAAUAUUUGAGCCUCUGACAAUAGGAGCUACUCAUAAAAAGAUAAAUGUAAAUGUAAUUCCUCAACUGUGAAUGGAAUAUUUUUGUUCAGCCCCCUCGAAUUAAAGCUGACUGUGUACAUUUAAACUGUUUCUUGUUUUUUUUUAUUUCAAAACUAGACUUCAACUUUAAAUAUU